rnacentral:rRNA from 1 species
AUUGAACGCUGGCGGCAUGCCUUACACAUGCAAGUCGAACGGCAGCACGGGAGCAAUCCUGGUGGCGAGUGGCGAACGGGUGAGUAAUAUAUCGGAACGUGCCCGGUCGUGGGGAUAACGUAGCGAAAGCUACGCUAAUACCGCAUACGAUCUACGGAUGAAAGCGGGGGAUCGCAAGACCUCGCGCGAUUGGAGCGGCCGAUAUCAGAUUAGGUAGUUGGUGAGGUAAAGGCUCACCAAGCCGACGAUCUGUAGCUGGUCUGAGAGGACGACCAGCCACACUGGGACUGAGACACGGCCCAGACUCCUACGGGAGGCAGCAGUGGGGAAUUUUUGGACAAUGGGCGCAAGCCUGAUCCAGCAAUGCCCGCGUGCAGGAUGAA